rnacentral:rRNA from 1 species
GAUGAACGCUGACAGAAUGCUUAACACAUGCAAGUCCACUUGAACUUCGGUUUGGGUGGCGGACGGGUGAGUAACGCGUAAAGAACUUGCCUCACAGCUAGGGACAACAUUUGGAAACGAAUGCUAAUACCUGAUAUUAUGAUUAUAUGGCAUCGUAUAAUUAUGAAGGCUAUAUGCGCUGUGAGAGAGCUUUGCGUCCCAUUAGCUAGUUGGAGAGGUAACAGCUCACCAAGGCGAUGAUGGGUAGCCGGCCUGAGAGGGUGAUCGGCCACAAGGGGACUGAGACACGGCCCUUACUCCUACGGGAGGCAGCAGUGGGGAAUAUUGGACAAUGGACCGAGAGUCUGAUCCAGCAACUCUGUGUGCACGAUGAAGUUUUUCGGAAUGUAAAGUGCUUUCAGUUGGGAAGAAAAAAAUGACGGUACCAACAGAAGAAGAGACGGCUAAAUACGUG